rnacentral:rRNA from 1 species
AUUGAACGCUGGCGGCAUGCCUUACACAUGCAAGUCGAACGGCAGCGGGGGAGAAGCUUGCUUUUCCUGCCGGCGAGUGGCGAACGGGUGAGUAAUACGUCGGAACGUGCCCUGUAGUGGGGGAUAACUAGUCGAAAGAUUAGCUAAUACCGCAUACGACCUGAGGGUGAAAGUGGGGGACCGCAAGGCCUCAUGCUAUAGGAGCGGCCGAUGUCUGAUUAGCUAGUUGGUGGGGUAAAGGCCUACUAAGGCGACGAUCAGUAGCUGGUCUGAGAGGACGAUCAGCCACACUGGGACUGAGACACGGCCGAGACUCCUACGGGAGGCAGCAGUGGGGAAUUUUGGACAAUGGGCGAAAGCCUGAUCCAGCAAUGCCGCGUGUGUGAAGAAGGCCUUCGGGUUGUAAAGCACUUUUGUCCGGAAAGAAAUGGCUCUGGUUAAUACCUGGGGUCGAUGACGGUACCGGAAGAAUAAGGACCGGCUAACUACGUGCCAGCCGCCGCUGUAA